AACGCAUCUUGCACCUUUGGGUAUUCCUGAAGGUACGCCUGUUUCAGUAUCAUUUUAUCUUCAAUAUCAAAAUUUAUUUUUUGGUAGUGAAAAAUCACCAUUGGCCCUAGAGACCCGAGAAAGAAUUUUUUUAUUCUCCUCGGCUUCACGGCUUAAAUUCUCGGUUUAUUUUUGACUGACACUUACCUUUUGGUAGAAUUUCUGCUUUAGAAGACGUGUGGCCAAAUAUUUAGACACGGCCUCGGCCCAAUCUUUAAAUCUUGAUCUGAAAUCAGGCGGGACUACCCGCUGAACUUAA
rnacentral:misc_RNA from 1 species